UACGUAGGGUGCGAGCGUUGUCCGGAAUUAUUGGGCGUAAAGAGCUCGUAGGCGGUUUGUUGCGUCGGCCGUGAAAACCUGCAGCUUAACUGUGGGCCUGCGGCCGAUACGGGCAGACUUGAGUUCGGUAGGGGAGACUGGAAUUCCUGGUGUAGCGGUGAAAUGCGUAGAUAUCGGGAGGAACACCUGUGGCGAAAGCGGCGCACUGGACCACAUCCGACGCUGAGGCGCGAAAGCUAGGGGAGCAAAUAGG
rnacentral:rRNA from 1 species